rnacentral:misc_RNA from 1 species
GAUGAAGAACGUAGCGAAAUGCGAUAAGUAAUGUGAAUUGCAGAUUUCAGUGAAUCAUCGAAUCUUUGAACGCACAUUGCGCCCGCCAGUAUUCUGGCGGGCAUGCCUGUUCGAGCGUCAUUUCAACCCUCAGGCCCCCAGUGCCUGGUGUUGGGGAUCGGCCCAGCCUUCCUGUAAGGCCGCCGGCCCCGAAAUCUAGUGGCGGUCUCGCUGUAGUCCUCCUCUGCGUAGUAGCACAACCUCGCAGUUGGAACGCGGCGGUGGCCAUGCCGUUAAACACCCCACUUCUGAAAGUUGACCUCGGAUCAGGUAGGAAUACCCGCUGAACUUAAGCAUAUCAAUAAGCGGAGGA